AGCAGAGACUUCUUAAGUGACACCUAGCAAAGAAGGAAAUGUGUUUAUAUAGUAAAACAAUGGUGCAUUAGGGUUAUUCAUUUAACCAGUUUCUAACAUAUUUGUAAUUUGAUUUGCAGCUCAGAACCAGCUUUGUAGUGAUUCAUCCUCCACUUAACCAGAGGCUUUUAAAGUCAAGACAGAUAAGUGUUUUGACAUUCUCAGCUGGGAAUCAUGCCCUUAACUCUCAUAUUUAUACAUAGUCUCUUGACUGCUUGGAUAGUAUAGCUGAGUCUUUAUCCAAGGGCAUAAUUGUCAGCCAGUGAUGGGUUUUGAAGGGCAGUCUGCAUAACAUGUCAAGUGUUGUCUCCUCUGCGAGAAGUCUCUCCUCAGUGACAGCGCUGUCAUAGUGGCACCUUGUGGCAAUCUCUUUACAAUGAAAGAAACCAAUGGCUUUUUCUCAACUUUCUCUUUUUACUUGCAACAGUGCUCAUCAAUAUGCAUAUGGAAAUGCCACGAUCUGGGUAGCUGAUUAGCUAAGGAGGUAGGCCACAGGUUAAGUCUGGCCCAAGGAAAGUAGGUUCUGUUAUAUGUCAGUCAACCUAUUAUCAGAUGAUCCUUUGUCACACCCAGAUAUUUGUUUUCUCUUGUGAUGGUGAUGGUGGCAUGGCAAGAGACACUGUAUCUCCCAUCUUCAAAAUUUCUCUUAACAAGAUCACUAAUAACUGUUGUUUCUUUUGUACUACCUCGACUGGAGGGCAAUUCACUCAAGUUAUCAGCUCACCCUUGGCGACUGAAGAUAGCAAAGCUGGAUUUUUAUAAAACAUCUGUCCAGACCGUUCACCGGGAUAACCUUCCAACUGCUUCUAUUAACUUGUACAUAAUACAGAUCCUCAGCUGGGUGAACAUCAUUAAAGCGCCAUUGAUUUUAGCCUGGCAGUACUCUAAUUACUAUCCAGUACCAGGUAUUCUUCUAAAAGGCUUUUGAUGGCUCCAAUCAUUCCUCCAAACUGGGACCAAGAAAGUGUUGGGGAACUCCUCCUUUUCCUAUGAGCUCUCACUUUCCAUCACUGAUGAAAACUAUGAGAGUGCUUGGGAAAUCUGAGAGACACCAUUGCCAACAGUACAUUGAUAGAUCGAAUCUGUUCUGAACAGAUGUGUCUAAUGCCAUCACAAAGACAUUAUAAUGCUUACAUGAGCUCUGCACCUGGAUGAAGAAGACUUUGUUCAGACUGAACUUCAGCAGGCCACCCAGAAAAAACUCAUCUUUCACGUGAAUCCAUUUAGUAACCAUUACAUUGCACUUCUCUGUAUAACACAAUACACCUGUGUUCCAAUAUUUAGCCUGUAUUUACUGUAGUCAUGUCUUAAUAAAUGAUUUCCAGGUUCAACUUUUUAUUUUCAAAAUAGUAGCCCCAGUUAGAGGGCCUCUUAUCCUAUAGAACAAGAGAGAGAGAAGAUCAAGAGGACCCAGAUUUUACUCCAGUGCUGACACAUAAACUCGUACUGUUUUACAAACCGCUCCCUCAUUUCUUUAGCUAGAAUGCACUGGAUGUGACCCAUAUGUUUUGCUUUCUGCUGAACUUCCAUUGAAGCAUUUAGAGACUAGUGAAAAACCAUGUCUCAACUAAAUGUGUUCAUUUCCUGUUGUUAAACCGCAGUUUAAAGAUAAGCAGCUUUGCAUUCUAUGAAUCCAUUGCAAAUCCUUCCCUUUUAGAUGAAUCAAACACACUUGCAUACAGACAUUUAUUAGCUCCCUGAGAAUUCAUACUCUGUUCUUGUGAACUUUGAAUCCUAUUGAUCUCUUCUUUAUCGAAUAUAAAGUGUUUAGACAUAGGGUCCUAGUCUUGAUCUCACUAAUUUUAAUGGGAACAAUACUGGGCUGCCCAGAUCUUUUCUCUUAUGUUUGGGUUUGUAUG